GGGCCAGACGCGAAACCUUGUGAUCUACCGUUGGUCAGACUGAAGGGCGGGUAAGACCGCCUGGAGGGUCGAACGGGUGACCGUUGAAAAGGUCUCCGAUGAACUGACGGGAGGACUCAAAGUGUAAUCAAACUGGGAGAUAGCUCGUUCUCUCCGAAAUAACUUUAGGGUUAGCCUCAGAAUGCAGACAUUGGGGGUAGAGCUACUGGAUGAGGCAGGGGGUCUACCCGACUACCCUCCUCAACCAAACUCCGAAUACCAAUGUCCAAGCUCUGGGAGAUAGACGGUGAGUGACAAUAUCCAUCGUCAAAAGGAGAACAAUCCAGACCACCAGCUAAGGUCCCUCAAAUGUGCUUAGUUCGAAAGGAAGUUGGGUUGCUGUGACAUCCAGGAUGUUGGCUUAGAAGCAGCCAUCAUUUAAAGAGUGCGUAACAGCUCACUGGACGAGGAACUCAGCGCCGAUAAUGAUCGGGAAUAAGCACGUUGCCGAAGCUGUGGGAGUCGAAAGACUCGGUAGGAGAGCGUUCUUGGCCGCGGCGAAGCGAUUCCGGAAGGGGUCGUGGAGCGCCAAGAAGUGAAGAUGUCGGCUUGAGUAACGAUUAACAAGGUGAGAAUCCUUGUCGCCGAAUACCCAAGGUUUCCUGGGCAAGGUAAAUCCGCCCAGGGUUAGCCGGGACCUAAGGCAAGGCCGAAAGGCGUAGUCGAUGGACGUGCGGUCAAUAUUCCGCAGCACGCGUGGAGAUCAAAUCACGUUUCGGAUUCCAAAGCUCGACGGGGCUGUAAGAUGCCCAGGCCCUUGUGGCCGAUGUCGGGUGGCGGGGUUCCUAGAAAAGGCGUGAGGGCAAGACGCGUCCCGUACCAAAACUGACACAGGUGGGUGUGGCGAAUAGCCUCAGGCGCUCGAGAGAACGGUCGUGAAGGAACUAGGCAAGUUAACCCCGUAAGUUCGCAAGAAGGGGGGCCUACUCCGCAAGGAGAGGCCGCAGAGAAAAGGGUCUGGGAACUGUUUAUCAAAAACACAGCUCUGUGCUAAGACGCAAGUCGAUGUAUACAGAGUGACGCUUGCCCGAUGCCGGAAUGUCAAGAGAGUGGGUCAUCGAAAGAGAAGCUCGCGAUCGAAGCACCGGUGAAUGGCGGCCGUAACUAUGACGGUCCUAAGGUAGCGAAGUUCCUUGUCGGGUAAGUUCCGACGCGCAUGAAUAGCGUAAUCACUGGAGCACUGUCUCCACGACCGACUCGGUGAAAUAGUAGUGGCGGUGAAGAUGCCGCCUACCCGCAGCAAGACGGAAAGACCCCGUGGACCUUCACU
rnacentral:rRNA from 1 species